GGCGGCGAAACGGCGGCGGCGAAUCGGUGGCGGCGAAAUGUCCUAGACCCUAAGGACGACGCUGCCAGUCGUCCAAAACCUGUACAUAAGUUCGCAGCUGAAUACAACUCACACGCACACGAUUACAACACCUCACUAAUAGUUUACGUUUCAGGAUAUUGCUCGGACGACGCUGCACACAAAAAAUAGGGAGCGAUCGUCCCGUCGUCCAAGCCACGAGCCGCCACUGGAUUCUAUAAUGUAUUAUUUAUAUAACUUAUUUAUUUAUGAAUAUUAAGUGCAAAGUAAAUA